rnacentral:rRNA from 1 species
GAUGAACGCUGGCGGCGUGCCUAAUACAUGCAAGUCGAGCGAACAGACGAGGAGCUUGCUCCUCUGACGUUAGCGGCGGACGGGUGAGUAACACGUGGAUAACCUACCUAUAAGACUGGGAUAACUUCGGGAAACCGGAGCUAAUACCGGAUAAUAUAUUGAACCGCAUGGUUCAAUAGUGAAAGACGGUUUUGCUGUCACUUAUAGAUGGAUCCGCGCCGCAUUAGCUAGUUGGUAAGGUAACGGCUUACCAAGGCGACGAUGCGUAGCCGACCUGAGAGGGUGAUCGGCCACACUGGAACUGAGACACGGUACAGACUCCUACGGGAGGCAGCAGUAGGGAAUCUUCCGCAAUGGGCGAAAGCCUGACGGAGCAACGCCGCGUGAGUGAUGAAGGUCUUCGGAUCGUAAAACUCUGUUAUUAGGGAAGAACAAAUGUGUAAGUAACUAUGCACGUCUUGACGGUACCUAAUCAGAAAGCCACGGCUAACUACG